rnacentral:rRNA from 1 species
UACGUAGGGUGCAAGCGUUGUCCGGAAUUAUUGGGCGUAAAGCGCACGUAGGCGGCUUUGCAAGUCCCAUGUGAAAGCCCACGGCUUAACCGUGGAAGUGCAUGGGAAACUGCAGAGCUUGAGUACUUAAGAGGAUCGCGGAAUUCCCGGUGUAGAGGUGAAAUUCGUAGAUAUUGGGAAGGAACACCAGUGGCGAAGGCGGCGACUGGGACGGUUACUGACGCUGAGGUGCGAAAAGCGUGGGGGAGCAA